UGUAGUCAUAUGCUUGUCUCAAAGAUUAAGCCAUGCAUGUCUAAGUAUAAACGAUUCUAUACUGUGAAACUGCGAAUGGCUCAUUAUAUCAGUUAUAGUUUAUUUGAUAGUAUUUUACUACUUGGAUAACCGUAGUAAUUCUAGAGCUAAUACAUGCUACAAAACCUAACUGCUUGUCGGAAAGGUUGUAUUUAUUAGAUGGAAACCAAUGCGGGAUUUUCCCGGUUUUGUGUUGAAUCAUGAUAACUGUGCGAAUCGUAUGGCCUUGCGCCGACGAUGAAUCAUUCAAGUUUCUGCCCUAUCAGCUUUGGAUGGUAGGGUAUUGGCCUACCAUGGCUUCAACGGGUAACGGGGAAUGGGGCGGGGGC
rnacentral:rRNA from 1 species